rnacentral:rRNA from 1 species
AGAGUUUGAUCAUGGCUCAGAAUCAACGCUGGCGGCGUGCCUAACACAUGCAAGUCGAGCGAGAAAGCCCGCAAGGGUGAGUAAAGCGGCGCACGGGUGCGUAACACGUGGAUAAUCUGCCCUGGAGUCCGGAAUAACUCGCCGAAAGGCGUGCUAAUACCGGAUGAGACCACGGGGACCUCGGUCCCUGCGGGAAAAGGUGGCCUCUGUACACAAGCUAUCACUUCAGGAUGAGUCCGCGGCCCAUCAGCUCGUUGGCGGGGUAACGGCCCACCAAGGCAACGACGGGUAGCUGGUCUGAGAGGACGAUCAGCCACACUGGAACUGAGACACGGUCCAGACUCCUACGGGAGGCAGCAGUGGGGAAUCUUGCGCAAUGGGCGAAAGCCUGACGCAGCAACGCCGCGUGUGUGAUGAAGGUCUUCGGAUCGUAAAGCACUGCCGCGAGGGACGAAUAAGGUACGGGUGAACAAUCCGUGUCGAUGACGGUACCUCGAGAGGAAGCACCGGCUAACUCUGUGCCAGCAGCCGCGGUAAUAC